rnacentral:rRNA from 1 species
UUUCCAGUUGCCAUCAAGUAAAUUAGGGGACGUCUGGAGAGACUGCCUGCGCAAGCAGAGAGGAAGGUGGGGGAUGACGUCAAGUCAGCACGGCCCUUACGUCCAGGGCUACACACGUGCUACAAUGGCCGGUACAGAGGGCAGCGACCUGGUGACAGGUAGCGAAUCUCCAAAGCCGGUCUCAGUUCGGAUCGGAGUCUGCAACUCGACUCCGUGAAGCUGGAUUCGCUAGUAAUCGGAUAUCAGCAAUGAUCCGGUGAAUACGUUCCCGGGCCUU